AUAAGGGAGGGUUUGUUUUGUGCUGAAAGCCUUUUGGGGGCAGUGCAAGCAAAAAUAAAUCCAACUGCAAUUGAUGUCUUUUCAUACAUGGUUUUACAUACAGUUAAUUGUUUUUGUUUUCUAUAUUCUAAUAAAGUAUUCAAAUUUUAUUUUCUAUGAAAUAACACUAAAGAGUUAAAUGUUGAGUCAAGUAAGAGUGCAGAGUUUAAACUUCUUUUAAAUAACUAGACAAUAUUUGUUCUUAUAAAAAUAUUUAAUUUACUCUAAAACUUUUUCUGGAUUUUUGACUAAGACUGUAACCGGAGAUAUCAAUUGCAGAGUGUGUUUAUGCCAUUGAGGAUAUAUAUAUAUAUAUAUAUAUAUAUAUAUAUAUAUAUAUAUAUAUAUAUAUAUAUAUAGUCUGGUUAUAUUCUCAUCUUAUGUUUUUCUGAUGAUCUUUUUAUUAUUAAAUUUCACUUUCUAUGUAAGUUACUGAGUUAGGUAGUGAUUUUGGGCUUGUGUUUCCUGUUUUGUGUUUCAUGUUGUAGCAGGUCUGCUUGGAGUAUAUCAUGGAUAAAUAUGACAGUUGUAUGCAUUGAUUAUCACACACUGCUUUAUGCCUUAAGACAAGUACACUGAGCUGCAGUACGUGGACUGCCAUGUGUUUGCUAGAGUAAUAAACCUCUGCUGGUUUUAGCAUUUUGACAUUGUGGACCAUGUGGUUUACUACUGAGUCUCCAGCAACUGUAGAAGUGGAACAAUUGUUUAUUGAGUUGAAAAGGAAAUGCUGUCUUAUAAAUUGAAAAGAUACCUCAAUAGAAUAUAGAUUACCACUAAAACCUGUCAUUCUUUAUAUGUUUUAUUGUCUUAGAAAACUUGUUGAUUUAAGUUCUGCUCUUAGGAGUUGUGAGUGAACAAUUAUCAGCUCCAUGGCAGCUUCUGCUUUCCUGUAUCCUGAGUCCACAACACAGUACUCAUGAGGAUGAUGCUUUCUUUUCCUGUUUGAUAAAAACACAUCGGUGGCAUUGCUGGAGCAGUUGACUAUUUCCAUAAAACUAAAUGCUGUGCCUUUGAAUUGCUUUCAUAAGGAGAACUCAAUAAUGUGCAGCUUUUCUCUCCUCAAAAACAUGUCAGGUUUUCAUUUUAAUGUCUUUUAUAGUGAAAGUCUGUUUAGGUGUGGAUAGCUUCAUGCUAUGCAGUGCUAGAUAUGAAAGAAAAGAAACCUUACUACUGGAGGAAAAUUUGGGUUAAAUGAUUUAAAGACAUUUAAGAACACUCACUUUACUAUUUUAUUUCUUCAUUUUGGUUUUUGUCUUAGGUAGAAAGCAAUUCAUUAAAACCACUAAUAUUUAGCAAGUUUCAUUCACGUCUCUAAUGGUGAUUUUCCAGUUUUUAUUUCACAGAAGAACAGUGUGGAAGAGGUUUUAUUUUGUAUUACUUAAUGGUAGUGGCUGAUUGUAGCCGCAUUUUCAGCCAUGUUGAGGCUUCAGAGAUCCACGAACCUGUAAAUUUUUCAGGAUUAAAGGAGAUAGUGAUUACCUCUCCUGUAGAUCCUCAACCUCUGAGCGAAGGUAAAGGUAGACUACUGGCUGGUAGUCUUAAUGUUUGACUUUCUGCUGCAUGGUUGAAAGGUCAUGCCAUUUACGGCAUUUCUGGUGUAAACACAGUUGAAUCAUUUAUUCUAUCUUUAGUAACUAAAACACGAGAAAAUUUAAUUUGACUCUAUGGUUUUGAGUAAUUAUUUUAUAUUGUCUAGUAAUUAAUUAGUUUAACAUAUUAUUUAUUUUGAUCUUGAAGUUGAUAUUUUUCAUACUCUUUGCCAUAAACCUCCAAAAUUAGAAUGAUAAAGUACAAUGUACUCAGCCACCAUAAAGCAUCUUUACUAUUAUCUUCUUAAAUAUUGAUUUUGAUUAUUAUUUUGUAAAAAUUAUUACUUUAAUUUUGUAAAAAUUGGAAUUUAUAGUGUCAUGGUUUUCUUCUUAGAAGAAAAUUGAUGUAUAGUGUUUCAAAUAAUACACCUACUAUGUUAUUGUGCCUCCUAUGGAAUUGUGCCUCCCACAUAUCUUAAAUCUUCUAGAGGGUCACGGUUUCUAUUUUCCAAGUCAGUACCACUACCAACUGUGAUGAUUUGUUUACAGUAAACAAUCUGCUUUCUAGAGCAUGUCAGAAAUGCAACAUGUUAGCUACUUUCCUUUUUAGAAGCACCCAUUAUUUCAUUAACAAUUAUUUGUCUGCUUAUUUGUUUGUUUGUUUAAAAUUAACAACCAGAUUCAUGGACUUAUCUUUUUCUCUUACUUCUGCAAAUACAGAAGUUACUGAAGAAAUUGGGCGUGUGGAAGAAGAGGGGGUGGAAAAGGAGGGAGACGAGGUCAAGGCAGACAACAGGGAAGAAACAUCAAGCUUACCUAAUAAUGGGAAAAAAGGCAAGUCUAAAAUUAUGUAUGUGUCUCUCUGUACUGACAUUUAUAAUGUGUAUAAAUAUAAUUCAUUAAAUUAGAAAGUCUUAGUCCCAAUUUGUUAUUUAGUGGUAAAAAAUACUUGUUUGUAUCUAUUUCUACUUAUUUAAUCUCUAAUAUUUUACCAUAGGCUGAUGAUGCAGCUCAAUGGCUUAGAAGUUGCCUAGCACUGCAUGUGGACACACUCACUCUCUCUCUCUCUUUCCCUCCCCCCUCCUACACACACACACACACACACACACACACACACACACACACACACACACACAAAAGUAACUUAUUGAUGCUAAGACUCCUAUUUUAUUGAAAUGUACAGAUUGAAAUUGAGAUUUAUUUUUUUGAUCACAUUAAAUUCCAAAAUUCUGAAGAAAAUAGUGGUAAUAUAUUAUGAAUUUUAAAAUAUAAUAUAGACAUUUUCAAUUUUGAAUUUAUUUUAAAAUAACACUAUUUAAAAUAAACUCUUAGAAUGAAACAAUGGGAAAUUUGACAAUAACAAAUGAUAAAUAUAAGUAAUAAGUAGAAAACAUUUGUGGAAUUACUACUCUAUAUACAUGGAUUAAUUUGUUGCUGAGACAAAUAAAAAGGCAACUGACUUAAAUCCAGAGUUUACCAAAACUUAAUUCAAACUAUCCGACUUGUGUUUUGGAAUAAUUAAUAAUCCAAAAUAUCUAUACAAAUUUGUUUGCAAUGUCAGCAUUUGAAUGAUCCCAUGAAUAUUAGAAAUCUUUUAGUACUAUAACAUUUGACCUUUUGUUAUUGAGCUAAAUAAAGACAUGAACACCUUAGUAUUUCAAUAGCUUAAUUAAUAUGGCCUUUAUCUGAAAAAGUGUUUUCAACCUGUCAGUCAAUACUCCUUUGGGGAUGAACGACCCUUUCAUAACACUGAUAAUUAUUAAUGUCUGUUCUGUCAUAUGAUUUAAAAGGUGGGAGUAAUGUGAAAAUAUAGCUAAAAUUAGAGCACAUCACAUAAAAUGGAACUUUAACUGACACUCAAGAGUUGUGUGUGUAUGACAUAUUUAUUGACUUCUCUGAUGUUUCUUAGAACCCAUGAAAGAAAAUUUUUAUAUAUAUUUAAGUAUAACUGAAAAAGUACAUCUUCAAGUUCAUUCCAUUAUUUGACUGCAUAAGUUGUGAACACAUACUGCCAUAUUGGCUUGAUGAACAUCUAAGUAUUAAGUGGGAUCUGUUCCCAUGGGGUCACUGGGUCAAAGGCCUCCAACUGUGAUGGCUUAUUCUGUCCUCUCUUACCUUGAUGUCUCCUUAAGCAAGGCUACUUCAGACUCUUCAGGUUUCCCAGUUCCUUUUUUCCUGUACACAAAGCUUCCUGUCCUUAAUGCAUAUUGGCUCUUUUUACUCUUUGCAAACUUUUUAUUUGCCCUUGCAUCACUGUAAACAUUUUUAUCAGCAUAAAGAGUAAUACUUUAUGUAUAAUGGUCCUCCAUGUGAUAUAACUAAGCCUAGCAUUAGUUAUUAAUGAACAACAGUUUGAAUGAUGAGAACUUUGAAUGGUUUGUAGGUAAUUUCUCAUUUUAAUCUAGUAUUUGGAUCUGUAGGGUUUUUUAGCCUAUUACUCAGGUCAAGCUAUCUGGUAUUAUAUUUUAUUAUGGUGUUGUUGUUUAGCUUUGUAUAUUUUGUUAAUAUUUAGUAAUACACACAGACAACUUACUACGAGAGCUGUUUUGAAUAGGUUUGUUUUCUGUGUAGGUUUUCCACACAUUUUUCUCAACCAUCUUAUUACUUCAUAUUCUGCCAUUUCCUAACAACUUGUUUUAAUAUUGCAAAGUAUUUAGAUUUUCUAAAGCAUUGAAAUACAGUUAUUGUUGAAGGAUCAGCCUGUGCUAUUAUCACUUACAAAUUUUCAUGGGAAGUAAGUGUAGAAAAUCAAAUUAUGCACAGAAGGAUUCUGAAAAAUUUGGUCUAGAGUAUGAGCUAUCUAGGAUGAAAACUGUUCUGUUGUAACCUUGUUGCCCUUUAGAUUUAGUAUACAUUUUCUUUUUGAAAUAAUUUAGCAUAUUUAAAUUGCUUCAAAUAAGUUUUUCAUAUAGUCAGUACUAUAUUAGCAUUAGCUAUUAGUAUAAUUUCUCAGACAUAUUAUAAUUAAAUAAUUUGUAAUUAUAUAAUAUAAAAUUCUAGAAAUUAUAAUUUCUUGUGUGAACCUUGGAUACUCUGAAAGCAUGAGUUUUAGAUUUAAAGUCAUAUUUGAUUAUGACCAUCAAACUGAAUGAACUCUACUGUUACACACACACACACACACACACACACACACACACACACACACACUAUAGUUUGAUAGUUCGUUACUGGUGCUAUGCUCCAGAUAAAAGACUAUAUAACACAGUAGAAAUGAAUGGAUGGACUAUUAAAGCAUGUUAUUUUAUGAUUUCAAUAUAUUCAUUGAUGUUAUUUAUACAUGCUUAGCUAUGUAUUUGAAAGUGUAGAGAGCUUUAGAAUGCUUUUGGCACACAAUUUAUCAGGAUUUUUCAGUCCAUUAUUACUUUUCAAUACUCCCUACAGAUGCACUGCCAGUCAACUUCUUGUGUCUUCAUCUUACGUUUCCUUCUCAGACUUUGUGAACUUUGGCAAGUCACUUAAUUUCACUAUGCUUCAGCUUCCUCUUGUGUUAAAUAAGAUACCACAGAGGAUUUGAAUUGAAACUUGGUGGUUUUGGAAAUGUGGUUGAUAGAAACUGAUGUCCCAAGCAUUUUUGAUUCUAAUUACUUAUUAUCUUAUUAUUGUUUAAUGAUACAUUAUUUUAGAAAGUUAUCACACAGUUUAAUUGGCCAUCAGUGAUGUAUUAUUGUAUAGCAUAACAUUUUAUAAAAUCCCUCCCAAAAUGUACAGUGAGUUGUAUAUAAAAAUAUUUUGUUUCUUGGGUAUAAUUUUUAAUGUAAAAUUGUCUUUGGAAUUUCAUAUUUAGCUAAUGUAAAUAAGAAAGAAAUGAAAAACGCAUAGAUGGAGGAAAGAACGACAUAAGGAAAGACAGAAGAGAGGCAGGGUGAGGGGAAGAAGUAGAUACUGUUGAAUUCACUCAUACAGCUGCUUGCUUUGGCCUGCUUUCUAGGAACUGGGUAAUAUUUAAGCUGAUGAGAAUACAUGAGGAUGUUGACUAUGAUCUUUGCUUUGCUGCCUUUCUGUGUUCUUACAAAUGCUUUCAAUGCAAGGGAUUGUGAAUAACUGUCUUAAUCUCAAAAAAAUGAUUUAUAUCUGUACAGGCAUAGAUUUCAGUGUGGAGUUCAUACUGCAUUACUUCCCUGUGUAUAUAAAAUGACAACAUAGCCAAUGUUGAUACAAGAGUCGAAAAUACUUUAUAUAUCAUGAAUUUCUAGCAUAUACUUUUGAGCAGGAUGGGUGCUCAAUCACACUUAUGUUUAUGGAAAAGCUUGGUGACCGUGAACAAGCUGGACUUGGAAGUUAAGCAAACAAAGCAUAUACUAUUUAGAGUAUAUGCUGAUAUUUUAUGGCUCAAGGAAGGAUAGAGGCUACAAUAAGAGAAAGAAUAAGACAUCCCGAUAUCUACUUGUGUGGCAUUAAGUCCUUGUGAGCACACAUUUUCUAGUUUCUAACCUCUGUUUCCGUAUCAUGACUGUCUUCUCCUUUUCUCAUAUGAUCUUAUCUGUACUUCCAAAUGCUUAGGUAACUAAUUAGGUUUAGGAAAGUAGUCCAUUGAAUGCAUGACUUUCGUGGCUGCUGUUCAGAUCCACAUCAUUGACUUUCUUGAUAUAAUUUGUAAAGCAUCUUUUUUUAGAAAUUUGACAUUAGUUUCGUGUUAGGGAGGUUUUUUGGUGUGGAUGAAUGAAUGCCCCCAUCUCACCUGUUUCAUGGGGUCCUUUUGAUUUAGCUCUUUGAGACAGAGUUUCACUCUAAUUCUAGGAUUGAGAGUCUGAGGCAGAAGGAUCACUGUAUAUUUGAGACCAAACUGGUCAGCACAGUACUAGGACUACAUAGUGAGAACCUAGUCAACAAAAUCUAAAGCCUCUUUACAAUUAACUGGAGCACUGGGAUUGUCUUCUGCUCGACACCCGUACACUUGGGUACUAAGCAAGCUCUACAUUUUAGGACUUGUGUUCAAAGCUUUGUCUUCAAAGUGUACAAGAUCUCCAGGCCCUGAGUUAGGUUAUCUGAAGGCUAGUUCAUCUGAGAAUAAGAAAUAACACAUUUCUCCUGUUGCCAGCAUGCAACUGUGAAACUUAGUAGAUUCAGGUAUUUGAAAUUACUUGUUAACCUAGGAUAAAUAUUUUGUUCUCAUACUUACUAAUUAGAAGUCUCCUGUGUGCUGUAUAGAGUCUGUGUGCUGUGUGAUAUGUAUUAGAGCACAUUAAAGCACAUUGAGCAAAAUCUAGCUAAUAUAGAAGUCUGUGCUCUUUAGAUCAAUUUUGAUACAAAAUUAUCUGUUGUGAUGAGGCUACCUGGAAUACAGUAGCUUUGCAGACAUUGUUCACCUCAUAGUUAAAUCCUCGAGACUUAUCUGCUUCAAAUUACUUAAUUUAUUAAGUCAAUACUAAGUUAUCUCAUCUACACACUAUAAAUACUAAAAUAAAGUAAUAAUUUAGGAUUUUCAUACCUCGAAAUGAUUAAAUUUUAACAAUAUGUCAGCUUAAUAACACUGUAAAAUUUAGAUCCACGACUGAAUUCUAAACAGUGAAAUGAUUAAUUGGAAUCUUCGGGAAAAUGAAAGUAUUUUACUAAGAGAAACUUAUCUCCUUAGUGAUUCCUAACUCAUUUAGAGCAUAUUGAUACAUUAGUUCAAAAUAAUAGACAAAUUAACUUACAUUCUACAAAUCUGAUUUUCCCUUAGUAAUAAUCGUGACCAGCUUUGUUAAAUGGGAAUGCUCUGUUACAUAGGAAGACUAGUAGGUAAAGAGACAGCUUUAUGUAUGGUGAGAUUUUAUGCAAUUUUUUUUCUUUUUUUUUUAUUAACUUGAGUAUUUCUUAUUUACAUUUCGAGUGUUAUUCCCUUUCCCAGUUUCCGGGCAAACAUCCCCCUCCCCCCCUCCCCCUCCCCUUCCUUAUGGGUGUUCCCCUCCCCACCCUCCCCCCAUUGCCGCCCUCCCCCCACCAGUCUAGUUCACUGGGGGUUCAGUCUUAGCAGGACCCAGGGCUUCCCCUUCCACUGGUGCUCUUACUAGGAUAUUCAAUGCUACCUAUGGGGUCAGAGUCCAGGGUCAGUCCAUGUAUAGUCUUUAGGUAGUGGCUUAGUCCCUGGAAGCUCUGGUUGCUUGGCAUUGUUGUACAUAUGGGGUCUCGAGCCCCUUCAAGAUCUUCCAGUUCUUUCUCUGAUUCCUUCAACGGGGGUCCCGUUCUCAGUUCAGUGCUUUGCUGCUGGCAUUCGCCUCUGUAUUUGCUGUAUUCUGGCUGUGUCUCUCAGGAGCGAUCUACAUCCGGCUCCUGUCGGCCUGCACUUCUUUGCUUCAUCCAUCUUGUCUAAUUGGGUGGCUGUAUAUGUAUGAGCCACAUGUGGGGCAGGCUCUGAAUGGGUGUUCCUUCAGUCUCUGUUUUAAUCUUUGCCUCUCUCUUCCCUGCCAAGGGUAUUCUUGUUCCCCUUUUAAAGAAGGAGUGAAGCAUUCACAUUUUGAUCAUCAGUCUUGAGUUUCAUUUGUUCUAACAUGUGCAUAGUAGCAAUGGUUUACCACUGUGUAGAGGAAUGUGAAUAAAGACAUAGCCAGAGAGUCCAUAGUAGAAACAUAAAACUGACUCUUAAAAGUUUUCCUCCUAGCAAGCGCAAGGCCCUGGGUUCGGUCCCCAGCUCCGAAAAAAAAAAAAAAAGAAAAAAAAAGUUUUCCUGACUUCCAUGCAUGUUCUAAUUCUCUCUCUCUCUCUCUCUCUCUCUCUCUCUCUCUCUCUCUCUCUCUCUCUCUCUCUCUCUGUGAGUGCAUGUGUGUGUGUUAGCAUGUGCACACAGGAACAUUGUGUAUGGGAAGACACAAUGCAAUAAAUACACAUGCAAUAAAUAAAUUUUUAAAAAAGAAGAUAAGAAGGUUGCUUUUUUUUUUAACUUUAGUAUUUCUUAUAUACAUUUCGAGUGUUACUCCCUUUCCCGGUUUCCAGGCAAACAUUCCCCUAAUCCCUCCCCCUCCCUUUCUUUAUGGGUGUUCCCCUCCCCAUCCUCCCCCCAUUGCCGCCCUGCCCCCAACAAUCUAGUUCACUGGGGGUUCAGUCUUAGCAGGACCCAGGGUUGCUUUUAAGAACUGGUGCUGGGGUUGGGGAUUUAGCUCAGCAGUAGAGCACUUGCCAGCAAGCGCAAGGCCCUGGGUUCGGUCCCCAGGUCCAAAAAAAAAAAAAAAAGAAAAAGAAAAAAAGAAAAAAGAAAAAAGAAAGAACUAGUGCUUCUCCCCCAUGGGAGGAGGAGGAGUGUGAUGAGAAACUGUAAGAGGUUGGAAUAGGGGGGACAACUGUUGGACUAGAAAUAAAGUAAUAAAAAGGGAGAGAACAAGCCCUUUAACAUCUAUAAGUUCAUAAAUAAAUUCAAAGUCAAAUUACUUUAAAAGAAAGAAGUAAUGCAAAAUUGAGAUUUAGUGGUUGAGAGGAACAUUUUAGUAUUUGCCCAACAAGUUGCUAUCCCUUUGUCCAUCACUCUAUCUCUUUUCCUCUUCAUCUAGCUUGUGUCCACUCUGCUUCAUCCACAGUGACCUCUCGGUUUCUCUGGACAUACUUCUAACUUAAAAUGUUUACACUUGACUAUUCUUACAUGUAACGUCCUUUUCUCCUGAAUGACCUUAAUCUCUGAGGUUCUUUAUUCAAGACUAGCCUACUUAGAGAGGACUUUUCUGACUAUACUCCAAAAUGUCAUCGUGCUUUAGACAUGCAUUUCCUUCUUGCUUACUUUGUCUGUUUAGCAGUUUUCUCUAAGUCAUUGUGCUUCCAUGUUCAGGCCACAAGCUCUUUACCAGUAAGCUACAUGCCUUCUAGAACCUUCAUGAUCAUGGAGGCACCUAUUUUGUCCUCUGCUGUGUCCUUUGUCCCUGUGCACAUGCCUACAUUAUAAUGGAUGCUUAACACUUACGGAAUGAAGAAAGUUAUACCAAUCUGCAGGCUCUUCUAGGCCAUUGGAUAUGCCAAGUAACCUAUGUUCAUGAUGUCAAGAAUUGCUUCUGCCCUGUUUUAUUGCUAGAUUGACUGAAAUAUUUCUUAGCAUAUUAGUUUUCUUACCAGGUAAUGAAUAGAGUAGCAAACUAAAUAGCUAUUUUAUUAUAUGUUGAAACUAAUUUUUUCUCAUAUGUACUAAAAAUCUUUAAAGUUGCAUAGAAAUAUUUUACCACAAUAAAACAGUUCCUAAUAAUUUUUACUUCUAAAAUAAAUUCACAUUUUUGAAUCAACAAAGUAAUGGUUAUUCUCUAUUAAGCUAUCAUUUAAUUAUUUAAGCUAUCAUUAAUUAUUUUCUUCAUACCUUGAAUUCAUUCAUUUUAUUGAAAAUAAAUUUAAAGGUUUACAAAAAGCAUAAUUUAAAAUUUUAGAUCUUGAGUUCAAUAAAAACAACUCAAGCCAUAUCAAUUUCUACAUUUAAAUUUUUAACAACUUACAUAUUGUAGAAUUUGGGAGAAUGAUUCUUUAAUCCCAAUUCUUAAGGUUCUUUGAGGUUUGAGGUCUUGUUAUGUGCAUUAUCUGUGUUUCUGACAAGCACUGAUCCUUUUUUUUUAAUUUGUACUAGAAGUUACAUGGGAAGACCAACAGGGAAAGGCGAAUGGUACAGUAAGUGAUGACAAACCAUUGCCGACCCCGAAACUCCAGUCUGAGCCAGGUUUGUCAGGGUGGAAACCACAUGAAAGCAUGAGACUAUAAACACUGCAUUUCAUGCUUUUUAAAGUGUGUGUCCUUGUACCUUACCUCUCAUUUUGAUGUGAACUUUAUAGUGUGCAGAUCAGUGUGGAGUACAUGAUGAAUGUGUAACAUGAUUUACUUAUAAAAUUAACCUCGUGUCUUUAAAGGAAAAAUUACUGUGUAAGCACAAGAGAAUGUCUGCUUUAUGUAUUUGAUGGUACUUUAAUGGAGAAGCACUCACUUCUCUCAACAGGACUGAAGAAAGCUCAAUAGAAAUAUCCCACUUUGUCUUUUUAUGCAUCCCUAUUUUUAGUUUGCAAAUGCCAAGAGAGAGUUGUGCCACAAUAUUAUCUCUCUGCCACUUAGGGAGUCAGAAGUUACUGGCUACUACAGGAAAGAAAAGGGACGGCACAGCUCACAGACUCAGAAAGUGUCUCUUCAAACCAUUCAUGUUAUCAAGGAGGUGAAAUGUUUCGCUUUCUUCUCCUCAAUUUGUACAACAGUUCGAUUUCGUAGCAAGUCCCCAACCCUAUCCCCAUAUUUUAAGAGGAAAGACAUGAAAGUUGCUAAGACCUAUUCAAUAAUCACUACAACGUUUAAUUUGUAAUUAGAGAAAUCAGUGCACAAUAACAUUUUAUCAACUUUAAAAUACUUGAAUCAUUUUUACUUUUUAUAUUAUUUUAAAUGGCUGUGUGUAGGAACAAUGAUAGUGUAUUUUCAUGUGCUUGCUUAUUUUUCUUUGAGCUGAAAAACCUGUAAUUUAAAUAUAUCAAAGUAUAAAUCAAAAUAGUUCAUUCAUGAGUAUUUAUUACCGUCUAUUGCAAUGCCAACAUUAAUGCCAAUAAUGAAUCAUUUGAGUUCAUAGGAAAGACAAAGCAAUAGUCCUCUUAGAAUCUUUGGUGACGUAAACAAGUUAAAAAGUAGUUGCAGCAUGCACUGAACCAUUGUGACAAGGGCUACUAAGGAGAGUGGAGUGCUGGUGAAGCUGACUGCACAGAAAGUCCACAGUGUGAGAGCCGAUGGAAAGUCAAGUGAAAUGAAAUGAAACCUAAGUCAUUUCAGGGAUUUAAAUACAUUCACUGGAGAUGAAACUAUGUUUAGCAGUCUUAACUGGACUCAGUGUAUUGGAAAGUCGUAAUUUUUAAUAUGUUUAAAGAGAUAUAAAAAUACAGAUGUAAAAAUAAUUUGUAUUAUGGUUUAUAUAAUAAAAAUACCUCUUAAAAGUAUCUCUCAAGAUAAAGAUUUAGUUCUGUAGAGCUCUUGCUUGUUGAGCGAGAAUCUCUGCUAGAUUUCUACCACUAAAAACAAAGUGACUAAUUAAUUUUCCUCACUAUAUUGUAUGAUGUGGAUUAUCUUUGCUCAUAAACUCUUACGUGGCAUCAAACCUGAUAUUUUAUAUAAACCUAUAUUUUUAUGUCAAGAUCACAAGCCCA